rnacentral:rRNA from 1 species
UACAGGGGGGGCAAGCGUUGUUCGGAAUUUCUGGGCGUAAAGGGUUCGUAGGUGGCCAACUAAGUCAUACGUGAAAUCCCCAGGCUUAACCUGGGAACUGCGUCGGAUACUGGAUGGCUUGAAUUCGGGAGAGGGAUGCAGAAUUCCAGGUGUAGCGGUGAAAUGCGUAGAGAUCAUGAGGAAGACCAGUGGCGAAGGCGGGUCUCUGGACAGUUCCUGACACUGAGGCACGAAGGCCAGGGGAGCAAACGGG